UACGGGGGGAGCAAGCGUGGUUCGGAUUUACUGGGCGUAAAGGGCGCGUAGGCGGCCAGCACAAGUCAGUUGUGAAAUCUCCGAGCUUAACUCGGAAAGGUCAACUGAUACUGUGCGGCUAGAGUGCGGAAGGGGCAACUGGAAUUCUUGGUGUAGCGGUGAAAUGCGUAGAUAUCAAGAGGAACACCUGCGGCGAAGGCGGGUUGCUGGGCCGACACUGACGCUGAGGCGCGAAAGCCAGGGGAGCGAACGGG
rnacentral:rRNA from 1 species